UCAAAGCAGACUAUCUAGUUCUCUGG
rnacentral:piRNA from 1 species